rnacentral:rRNA from 1 species
AGCAGUAGCCGCGGUAAUACGGAGGGGGCUAGCGUUGUUCGGAAUUACUAGGCGUAAAGCGCACGUAGGCGGCUUUGUAAGUUAGAGGUGAAAGCCCGGAGCUCAACUCCGGAAUUGCCUUUAAGACUGCAGAGCUAGCAGGUGAGAGAGGUGAGUGGAAUUCCGAGUGUAGAGGUGAAAUUCGUAGAUAUUCGGAAGAACACCAGUGGCGAAGGCGGCUCACUGGCUCAUACUGGACGCUGAGGUGCGAAAGCGUGGGGAGCAAACAGGAUUAGAUACCCGCGUAGUCCCUGUCUCUUAUAU